rnacentral:sRNA from 1 species
GGAUAAAUGAAAUCAAAUGCUUUUGUUUGGAUUGAUAAAAAAGGAAUGAUUUUCAUACAUGUCAACAGUUUUAUUACAGUGCAUUUUCAUAAUCCUGCCCAAUAUGCAUUUGGAUAUAUUUUUAAUAUUUUGUUGCAUACUUGAAAAAAAGGAUGCUAUUGUCCGUAAAUAUAUUUUUAGGCCAUCCUUUAAAAAAUGUUUGUUUGGAAUUGCCACCUCCAAAAUUUUUUUUUUUGCUAUUAUAAAAUUUUAUCACCGGUGGGGGGGGGGGUGUUUUUAUGAGGCGGGAGACAAUUCCAAACAAAUAAUAAUUUAUUUUGGUCUCAUGUAAUUUAUGCUUAAUUAAAAACUAAGGAAAUCGUUUUAAAGAUGUGUCAACAGUUUAUUUACUGUACAUUUGCAUAAUCCUGAUCAAUAUGUUUUUGUAUAUUUUAUAGUAUUUGUUUAAUACUUGAAGAAGGGAAAUUAUUGUUUGUAAAUGCAUUGCUAUCCCAUAAUACUAUUUUACAGU